UUACGGCCAUAUCACGUUAAAACAUUGGUUCCUGUACGAUCACCGAAGUUAAGCAACGUCACGCCUGGUCAGUACCUACAUCGGUGACCGACUGAGAAUACCUGGUGCUGUAAG